rnacentral:lncRNA from 1 species
UUGCUUGUAAAUCCCUCAAUCUUGUAUUCUCAGUCAUGGAAGCUCAAUGAAAGCACCAAAUGUAACGACUUAAAAUUUAUAAAAGCACAAAAUGAUAAUGGUAAUACUGUAAGGAAGAGUUGUAUUACGUUUGUAGAAUGAAAUGCAUAAGUUCAUUACAAUAUGAUAGUAGCUUAGAAAAGAAGAAGGUGUGUAGAGAACGAAGAAGGAGAAGGCAGAAGGAAUGGAUCAGGGAGAAGCAGAGAGAAUGUGCAGAGGGGAAUCAUUCCACAUCAUUUCACACCCCACUCAUUACAUAAUCAUGCCAUUUAAC